ACUGAACGCUGGCGGCAUGCCUUACACAUGCAAGUCGAACGGUAACGGGUCCUUCGGGAUGCCGACGAGUGGCGAACGGGUGAGCAAUAUAUCGGAACGUGCCCAGUAGUGGGGGAUAACUGCUCGAAAGAGCAGCUAAUACCGCAUACGACCUGAGGGUGAAAGGGGGGGAUCGCAAGACCUCUCGCUAUUGGAGCGGCCGAUAUCAGAUUAGCUAGUUGGUGGGGUAAGGGCCUACCAAGGCAACGAUCUGUAGUUGGUCUGAGAGGACGACCAGCCACACUGGGACUGAGACACGGCCCAGACUCCUACGGGAGGCAGCAGUGGGGAAUUUUGGACAAUGGGCGCAAGCCUGAUCCAGCAAUGCCGCGUGCAGGAAGAAGGCCUUCGGGUUGUAAACUGCUUUUGUCAGGGAAGAAAUCUUCUGGGCUAAUACCCCGGGAGGAUGACGGUACCUGAAGAAUAAGCACCGGCUAACUACGUGCCAGCCGCCGCUGUAA
rnacentral:rRNA from 1 species